AUGGCGGCGGCGGAGAGCACGGCGCUGCCGGCGGACCCCCGGCGCGUCCGCAACACGUGCAUCCUGGCGCACGUCGACCACGGGAAGACCACGCUGGCGGACCACCUCGUGGCCUCCUGCGGCGACGGCCUCCUCCACCCCAGGCUCGCCGGCCGCCUCCGCUUCAUGGACUACCUCGACGAGGAGCAGCGCCGGGCCAUCACCAUGAAGUCCGCCGCCGUGCUCCUCCGCUACGGCGACGGCCCCGCCGCGCACCGGGUCAACCUCAUCGACUCCCCGGGCCACAUCGACUUCUGCUCCGAGGUCUCCUCCGCCGCGCGCCUCUCCGACUCGGCGCUCAUCCUCGUCGACGCCGUCGAGGGCGUCCACAUCCAGACCCACGCCGCGCUGCGCCAGGCCUUCCUCGAGCGCCUCCGCCCCUGCCUCGUCCUCAACAAGCUCGACCGCCUCAUCACCGAGCUCCACCUCACCCCCGCCGAGGCCUAUACGCGCCUGCACCGCAUCCUCGCCGACGUCAACUCCAUCUACUCCGCGCUGCGCUCGCACUCCUACUUCUCCGUCCUCGCGUCCCUCGAGGACCAACCGUCCUCCAGCUCGUCAGCCUCGCCGGACGAUCUCCCGGACGAUGCUGAUGACGACGAGGAGGACGCCUUCCAGCCCCAAAAGGGCAAUGUCGUCUUCGCCUGCGCCCUCGAUGGCUGGGGCUUCCGCAUCCACCACUUCGCAGAGUUGUACGCCACCAAGCUUGGCGCCAGCGCCUCUGCUUUGCUGAGAGGGUUUUGGGGGCCGCGAUACUUGGACAAAAAGGUGGAUAAGAAGGGUAAGAAGAAUUUUAUGAUUGUGGGAAAGAAGGCGGUGGAGGGUACUGACCGGGAGCCCAUGUUUGUGGAGUUCAUUCUGAAGCCCCUAUGGAAAUUGUAUGAGGGAGUACUGGGGCAGGACGGGGAGAUAGUUCAGAAGGUCAUUAACAACUUCAAAUUGAACAUUCCGCAGCGGGAGCUGCAGAACAAGGACCCAAAGUUAGUUUUGCAGUCUGUGAUGAGCCGGUGGCUGCCGCUGGCAGAUGCAGUGAUGGCAAUGGUGGUCGAAUGCACUCCUGACCCUGUUGUCGCUCAAGGGGCCAGGGUUGCAAGGCUUAUGCCAAAGAGGGAGCUUGCAGCAGAGGAUGCUGCUGAUUGCGCUGAGGUUUUCUUGGAGGCAGAGAGGGUGAGAAGGUGUGUGGAGACCUGUGACGCGGGUGCAGAUUCACCGGUGGUGGUGUAUGUGUCCAAGAUGUUUGCGGUGCCAUGUAAGAUGUUACCACCGAAGGGGGUGCACGGUGAGUUGUUGAACCACCAGGAUGCAAGUGAAUCAGAGGAGUGUUUUAUGGCAUUUGCGAGAGUGUUCAGCGGGGUUCUUCAUGCAGGGCAGAAGGUUUUUGUGCUGUCGGCAUUGUACGAUCCACUGAAAGGGGAUGCAGUGCAGAAGCAUGUACAGGAGAUUGAGCUGCAAUACUUGUAUGAAAUGCUGGGACAGGGCUUGAGGCCAGUUGCCAGUGUGAGUGCUGGGAAUGUGGUUGCAAUUCAGGGCCUUGGGCAGCAUAUAUUGAAGAGUGCCACAUUGUCAUCCACCAAGAAUUGCUGGCCCUUCUCAAGUAUGAUGUUCCAGGUGUCUCCGAUGCUUAAGGUUGCAAUUGAGCCCGCCAACCCGACGGAUCUGGGAGCUCUUGUUAAAGGGAUCAAGCUUCUUAACCGAGCAGACCCAUUUGUUGAGUACACUGUCACGCACAGGGGUGAACAUAUCCUUGCCGCAGCUGGGGAGGUUCAUUUGGAGCGGUGCAAAAAGGAUCUGGAGGAAAGGUUUGCAAAGGUUAAAUUGGUCGUUUCGGACCCCCUGGUCUCCUUUAAAGAGACGAUCGAAGGAGAAGGUGCUGGCUUAUUGGAAGGCUUGAAGGCUCCGCAUGCAUUUGUUGAGAGGACUACUCCAAACGGGAGAUGCACUGUGAGAGUUCAGGUCCUAAGGCUUCCCAAUGCUCUGACCAAGGUCCUCCAAGAAAGUGAUCAAUUGCUUGGUCAAAUAAUGGAGGGGAAAACAGCAAAGAGGAAUGUAAUGUCAAACCCACAAAUUUCUCAAGAUGAUUGUGAUUCUGUUGCGAUGCUUAGGCAGCGCAUGGUCAGUGCCAUAGACAGUGAAUUGGAAGCCAUUUCUGAGCAAGUGGAUAAGGAAAAACUUCAGAAGUGUAGAAAGACAUGGCUUGGGUACCUCAAAAGGAUCUGGUCCUUGGGUCCUUGGCAGGUUGGCCCAAACUUCCUUCUCUUGCCUGAUGUUGAAUCAAGUGAUGGUGUGAUAACCAUGGAAGAUGGAAGGCAAGGUAUUCUUGUGCGUGGUAGAGCAGAUUUUUCUGAGAGAUUGGGGUUUGUGAGUGGAUCUGAUGCUGAAGCUAACCAUACUCCUGACAGCACUAAAUCAUCAGCAGAUACUCCUGAAUCGUUACAUCUAGAAUCUGUGGCACUAAGGAACAGCAUUCUUUCAGGAUUUCAGUUUGCCACGAAUGCAGGGCCUUUAUGUGAUGAACCAAUGUGGGGUCUGGCAUUUAUCAUUGAGCCUUACAUAUUUGCUGACAACUCUGAUGCUGCCCAUCAAUCUGAUCAAUACAACAUCUUCAGUGGCCAAGUAAUAACUGCAGUUAAAGAAGCAUGCCGAGCAGCCGUUCUUCAGAACAACCCAAGGCUUGUCGAAGGCAUGUAUUUCUGUGAAUUGACCACCCCGACUCAGCAACUAGGUUCAACAUAUGCAGUUCUUGGUAGGAGACGAGCGAAGAUUUUGAAAGAAGAGAUGCAAGAAGGGACUUCAGUAUUUACAGUGCACGCUUACUUGCCUGUUGCCGAGAGCAUUGGAUUUUCUAGUCAGCUCAGGACCUUAACAUCAGGUGCAGCCAGUGCGCUGCUUGUUCUUAGCCACUGGGAUGCUAUUCAGGAGGACCCUUUUUUCAUCCCAAAGUCACAGGAGGAGAUUGAAGAAUUUGGAGAUGGGGCAAGCAUUGGGCCAAACUUGGCUAAGAAGCUUAUGAAUUCUGUGAGGCGGAGGAAAGGAUUGCAUGUUGAAGAGAAAGUUGUGGAGCAUGGCACGAAACAGCGAACUCUCUCUAGGAAAACAUAG
rnacentral:rRNA from 1 species